GUUUGCUCCGGCAGAACAUAUUCUAAAAUUGGAAUGAUACAGAGAAGAUUAGCAUGGCGCCCGCACAAGGAUGACACGCAGAUUUGUGAAGCAUUCCAUAUUUAA
rnacentral:snRNA from 1 species